CUCUGGCCACUAGGCACAGCUCUGCCUGCAUACCAGCACACCACGUGGCAGCCACGAGGCAGAGCAAGCCCCCAUCACACCACUGAGGUGGGUCUGGAAUCUCACCAGAGAAGGAGACUCCAGAGGCUGUCUGGACAGCCUGUUCCAGUGCUCCAGCACUCUCUGAGUAAAAGAAUUUUCUUCAAGUUGAGGUGGACAUGCAACUUACUAUCCUCACCAGGCCAAUUCAGAGCAAGGAGGGAGAAGUGGCAGACAGCAUUUUAAACUCAUCAGUGAUGUUGUGAGAGGCCAUUUGUACAGCCAGAGAAUCAGCUGGUGGAUGAAGCAGACAAGUGGAGUGGGGGAGAGGGAGUGAGCUCUUUGAAUGGGAUGAGAACAGAGCCACCGGCACCUCAAGAAAGUUUAUCUGCCUCCAGUGCCAAGCACACACAGUGCUAAUCUUUUGUUGCCAUGAAUAUUCAAGCCCAGCUGCCAGCAACAGAGGGAGCAGCUGCAGUGGCAGAGCUGGCAGGUCCCCUCGUGGUGCCCUUGCUUGCCGACCCUGGCAUCUGGGUCUGUCUGGGGGUGGGGAGGGGGAGAUGCUGCCUGCAUUGCAGACGCCAUUCGACAGCCGUUCGGCAGCCCAGCCCCAUGCUUCCUAGGCAGCGAGGAGUCAGGAACACGCUCAGCUUGGAGAGCCCAGGACUGUCCUCUCUUGCUGACGUGUGUGCCAGAUGCCCCAGAUGUUUGGGGUCAUCUGAAGUCCUGCAGGGAAGGGAUGAGUCUAGGACAAGAAAGAGCAACAGCCAGGGCAGUCCAAGAUUGAAGAACCUCUGCUGCUUCUCGGAGAAGACAGUGCGAGACAAAAGCCUGCGUGGCCCGUGGAACACUAGAUGUACACAGCCCGAGGCAGGUCACAGUUCACAUGGUGUAUUUGGUGAAGGGGUACAUUGGGUCACAGGGCAUGAGGAGCUGGUGAAAUGCCAUUAGAGGAGCACAGUGAGGACCAGAAACAAGUUGGCAGGUGGCUGCACUGCUAUAGUGUCAUGGAAGAGUUGGAGGAUUUUUGCCACUUGUGGCAGACAGCAGUAGGAGUCCACAGACUUUCCUUGGAUGGGCAGCAUGUCCUUCUCCAAAAUUUAGAGCAGUGUUUUUGGAGACAAGGCACUAUAAGAGCAGCUCUUUGUCCCUGCAUACUCCAUCGAGGCAGAGAAGUGCCCUGGGAGAAAUGUCAAGAGACACAAGAUCAGAGCAGACAUCCAUGCUGCCGUGACAUCGUUCUGCCAGUGCCAAAAUCAUCAGAGGCAGUAAUGCCCCUGCCUUGGCAUAGAAAAGCACUGAUACUCACUCUGCCUAGCAGAUUUCCUUUGUAACACACUUAUAUACUUAGGAGGGGAAGAAAAAAGAUGAUUGAGCAAGACCAGAGCAGGCUUCAAGGAGCACCCAAGGCUCAGAUGUCUUGCCUCUUGCCACCAAAACCCAAGGUGGUCACUGUGAUAGAGCUUUGGACAGGGAACAGGCUAGAGACUGCUACUGGACUUGUUACUUUCAUUCAUUGAAGAAACCUUUGCUACAGUCAGCUGCCAACUACUGAUAUUUAAAAACAUUUAAUCCUCUUUGAGCCUCCAGAUACAUUUCUGUUUCUGCAUCACCUCCUAACCACUAGUGCCAGGCCACUGCUCUCUGGCAUGUAACUUCCCACCGAGCACAGGCAUGCAGCCAUGAGACUGAGCAGCUCUCCAGACUCUGUCACAAGGCUCAGAGCUGUGAAGUAGUUGAUAUUGCAAGAGAGACCACCAGAAACGGGCAUGCAGGUUUCCCAGGAGAAAGAACAGCCUGUGAAGGCUAGAGGUGGAUAUUGUGCAGUUAGCUGUCCGUCUCCAAGAAAGAGGAAACUGGCAUUUGGGAGAAAAUGAUCAGACCUGGGUUUGCAUCCCCUAAAACAGUUUCUGUGGACAGCCCAAAAGGAAAAAUGAGCAAGUUCCUGCCUUGGGGACAUAUUUUAGGAUGCCACACAGACCAGGGUAAACACUCAACACCAGAUAGAAAAGCAAUCUCUUGAUGUUCUUGACCUUACCAGUUCUUCAUCCUAUCUCUAUCCUUUUAAACCCAGAAAGAAAGUCUCUCCUUAUUGUAUUUGCAAAUAGGACAUCUCAGACAGAGUGGAGAAAGGAUAAAUAGAGCAGGAAAAGCCCCAUCCACCAAACCAUUUAAUUUCACUUUAUGCCAGCUUUGCCUUUCGGGUACCGAUUUUGGGAGCAAAAACUGACAAAUAAAGCCAAACCAAAACAAUGAAAUAAUUUAGAAUUAAGAAGGAGCUGCACCGAUCCAGAUAAACACAAAUGUAACAGCACCUGCUCGAAGACUCUGUGUCUAAUUGUAAUUUACCCAGUCUUCUGGCAAGCUUCAGAGAGUAAGAGCCCAGCCACCCCAUGGCCCGCUGGCCUGGCACGCGUCCUGUGCGGCAUUAGAAUGGACACAGAAUAUAGGUGCUUCCCAUGGAUUUAUGCCUAUCUUUGUCCCUAGAUUGAUAUUAAACAAUAAACAGUUUGUGGAUAAGAGCUUUAUCCUCAGCAAA